ACUUCAAAUGAGUUUUCAGAGCAAGUGAAAUGGCAGUGUUUGAUACAACACAUCACGCUGAGGAGACAGAAUGUUUUCAGUAGUUUGAAAGCAUACCUGUCAUAUGUCUACGCCUGAUUACUUCAUUGUUUGAGAAUGUCAGUAAAGACACAGCUAUGCAAUUUUAGAUUUUCCAACACAAUAUUUAGUAAUCAAUGCACCCUAUUCACUCCAGAGUCUUGCUCUAAUGAUUCCAGUAACUGGCUUGAUAAAGCAAAGCAGCCUGUCUGCACAGAUCAAAAUAUAAAUAGUCAGGCAAAC